rnacentral:rRNA from 1 species
AGUGAACGCUGGCGGUAGGCCUAACACAUGCAAGUCGAACGGCAGCACAGUAAGAGCUUGCUCUUACGGGUGGCGAGUGGCGGACGGGUGAGGAAUACAUCGGAAUCUACUUUUUCGUGGGGGAUAACGUAGGGAAACUUACGCUAAUACCGCAUACGACCUACGGGUGAAAGCAGGGGAUCUUCGGACCUUGCGCGAUUGAAUGCGCCGAUGUCGGAUUAGCUGGUUGGCGGGGUAAAGGCCCACCAAGGCGACGAUCCGUAGCUGGUCUGAGAGGAUGAUCAGCCACACUGGAACUGAGACACGGUCAAGACUCCUACGGGAGGCAGCAGUGGGGAAUAUUGGACAAUGGGCGCAAGCCUGAUCCAGCCAUACCGCGUGGGUGAAGAAGGCCUUCGGGUUGUAAAGCCCUUUUGUUGGGAAAGAAAAGCAGCAGGUUAAUACCCCGCUGUUCUGACGGUACCCAAAGAAUAAGCACCGGCUAACUUCGUG